rnacentral:rRNA from 1 species
UACGAAGGGGGCGAGCGUUGUUCGGAAUUACUGGGCGUAAAGCGCACGUAGGCGGCUUUGCAAGUUAGAGGUGAAAGCCCGGGGCUCAACUCCGGAAUUGCCUUUAAAAACUGCAUCGCUAGAAUUUGUGGAGGAGGUAAGUGGAAUUCCGAGUGUAGAGGUGAAAUUCGUAGAUAUUCGGAGGAACACCAGUGGCGAAGGCGGCUCACUGGUCCAUUACUGACGCUGAGGUGCGAAAGCGUGGGGAGCAAACAGG